rnacentral:rRNA from 1 species
UUACACCCUUCUUUACGCGCACCUUACGUUCUCCUUCGGCGGGGCGACCCGCCGCUGGAACUUAACAAACCUUUUGCAUUAGCAUUACCUGUUCCGAUCAAUAUAAUCGUUACAACUUUCAACAAUGGAUCUCUUGGCUCUGGCAUCGAUGAAGAACGCAGCGAAAUGCGAUAAGUAGUGUGAAUUGCAGAAUUCAGUGAAUCAUCGAAUCUUUGAACGCACAUUGCGCCCCUCGGUAUUCCGUGGGGCAUGCCUGUUCGAGCGUCAUCUACACCCUCAAGCACUGCUUGGGGUUGGGCGUCUGUCCCGCCUCCGCGCGGCGACUCGCCCCAAAGGCAUUGGCAGCGGUCUCUUGCACCUCUCGCGCAGCACAUUGCGCUUCUCGAGGGGAGGCAGGCCGCGACCACGAAGCUUUUAUUCGUCUUUGACCUCGGAUCAGGUAGGGAUACCCGC